AUUGAACGCUGGCGGCAGGCCUAACACAUGAAAGUCGAACGAGUGGCGGACGGGUGAGUAAUGUCUGGGAAACUGCCUGAUGGAGGGGGAUAACUACUGGAAACGGUCGCUAAUACCGCAUACCCACGGCUGUUCCCAGAUGGGAUUAGCUAGUAGGAGGGGUAAAGGCUCACCUAGGCGACGAUCCCUAGCUGGUCUGAGAGGAUGACCAGACACACGGGAACGGCGACACGGUCCAGACUCCUACGGGAGGCAGCAGUGGGGAAUAUUGCACAAUGGGCGCAAGCCUGAUGCAGCCAUGCCGCGUGUAUGAAGAAGGCCGUCGGGUUGUAAAGUACUUUCAGCGGGGAGGCGUUACCCGCAGAAGAAGCACCGGCUAACUCCGUGCCAGCAGCCGCGGUAAUAC
rnacentral:rRNA from 1 species